AUCUAAGUAGCUGCAGGAAGAGAAAGCAAAAGCGAUUGCCUUAGUAGCGGCGAGCGAAACGGCAGGAGGGCAAACCGAAGAGUUUACUCUUCGGGGUUGUAGGACUGCAAUGUGGACUCAAAGAUUAUAGAAGAAUGAUUUGGGAAGAUCAGCCAAAGAGAGUAAUAGCCUCGUAUUUAAAAUAGUCUUUGUACUUAGCAGUAUCCUGAGUACGGCGGGACACGUGAAAUCCCGUCGGAAUCCGGGAGGACCAUCUCCCAACCCUAAAUACUCCCUAGUGACCGAUAGUGAACCAGUACCGUGAGGGAAAGGUGAAAAGCACCCCGGGAGGGGAGUGAAAUAGAACCUGAAACCGUGUGCCUACAACAAGUUCGAGCCCGUUAAUGGGUGAGAGCGUGCCUUUUGUAGAAUGAACCGGCGAGUUACGUUAUGAUGCGAGGUUAAGUUGAAGAGACGGAGCCGUAGGGAAACCGAGUCUGAAUAGGGCGCCUUAGUAUCAUGACGUAGACCCGAAACCAUGUGACCUACCCAUGAGCAGGUUGAAGGUGCGGUAAGACGCACUGGAGGACCGAACCAGGGCACGUUGAAAAGUGCUUGGAUGACUUGUGGGUAGCGGAGAAAUUCCAAACGAACUUGGAGAUAGCUGGUUCUCUCCGAAAUAGCUUUAGGGCUAGCGUCGACAUUAGAGAUUCUUGGAGGUAGAGCACUGUUUGGGUGAGGGGUCCAUCCCGGAUUACCAAUCUCAGAUAAACUCCGAAUGCCAAUGAAUUAUGGUCGGCAGUCAGACUGCGAGUGCUAAGAUCCGUAGUCGAAAGGGAAACAGCCCAGACCACCAGCUAAGGUCCCAAAAUAAUUGUUAAGUGGAAAAGGAUGUGGGGUUGCACAGACAACUAGGAUGUUAGCUUAGAAGCAGCUAUUCAUUCAAAGAGUGCGUAAUAGCUCACUAGUCGAGUGACCCUGCGCCGAAAAUGUACCGGGGCUAAAACAAUUUACCGAAGCUGUGGAUACCUUUAUAGGUAUGGUAGGAGAGCGUUCUAUGUGUGAUGAAGGUGUACCGUGAGGAGUGCUGGAACGCAUAGAAGUGAGAAUGCCGGUAUGAGUAGCGAAAGACAGGUGAGAAUCCUGUCCACCGUAAGACUAAGGUUUCCAGGGGAAGGCUCGUCCGCCCUGGGUUAGUCGGGACCUAAGGAGAGACCGAAAGGUGUAUCCGAUGGACAACAGGUUGAUAUUCCUGUACUAGAGUAUGUAGUGAUGGAGGGACGCAGUAGGCUAACUAAAGCAGACGAUUGGAAGAGUCUGUCUAAGCAGUGAGGUGUGAAUUGAGUCAAAUGCUUAAUUCUAUAACAUUGAGCUGUGAUGGGGAGCGAAGUUUAGUAGCGAAGUUAGUGACGUCACACUGCCAAGAAAAGCUUCUAGCGUUUAAACAUACUCUACCCGUACCGCAAACCGACACAGGUAGUCGAGGCGAGUAGCCUCAGGUGAGCGAGAGAACUCUCGUUAAGGAACUCGGCAAAAUGACCCCGUAACUUCGGGAGAAGGGGUGCUGACUUUAAGUCAGCCGCAGUGAAUAGGCCCAAGCAACUGUUUAUCAAAAACACAGCUCUCUGCUAAAUCGUAAGAUGAUGUAUAGGGGGUGACGCCUGCCCGGUGCUGGAAGGUUAAGAGGAGUGCUUAGCGUAAGCGAAGGUAUGAAUUGAAGCCCCAGUAAACGGCGGCCGUAACUAUAACGGUCCUAAGGUAGCGAAAUUCCUUGUCGGGUAAGUUCCGACCCGCACGAAAGGCGUAAUGAUUUGGGCACUGUCUCAACGAGAGACUCGGUGAAAUUUUAGUACCUGUGAAGAUGCAGGUUACCCGCGACAGGACGGAAAGACCCCAUGGAGCUUUACUGCAGUUUGAUAUUGAGUGUCUGUACCACAUGUACAGGAUAGGUAGGAGUCUAAGAGAUCGGGACACCAGUUUCGAAGGAGACGCUGUUGGGAUACUACCCUUGUGUUAUGGCCACUCUAACCCAGAUAGGUGAUCCCUAUCGGAGACAGUGUCUGACGGGCAGUUUGACUGGGGCGGUCGCCUCCUAAAAGGUAACGGAGGCGCCCAAAGGUUCCCUCAGAAUGGUUGGAAAUCAUUCGCAGAGUGUAAAGGUAUAAGGGAGCUUGACUGCGAGAGCUACAACUCGAGCAGGGACGAAAGUCGGGCUUAGUGAUCCGGUGGUUCCGUAUGGAAGGGCCAUCGCUCAACGGAUAAAAGCUACCCUGGGGAUAACAGGCUUAUCUCCCCCAAGAGUUCACAUCGACGGGGAGGUUUGGCACCUCGAUGUCGGCUCGUCGCAUCCUGGGGCUGUAGUCGGUCCCAAGGGUUGGGCUGUUCGCCCAUUAAAGCGGCACGCGAGCUGGGUUCAGAACGUCGUGAGACAGUUCGGUCCCUAUCCGUCGCGGGCGUAGGAAAUUUGAGAGGAUCUGCUCCUAGUACGAGAGGACCAGAGUGGACUUACCGCUGGUGUACCAGUUGUCUUGCCAAAGGCAUCGCUGGGUAGCUAUGUAGGGAAGGGAUAAACGCUGAAAGCAUCUAAGUGUGAAACCCACCUCAAGAUGAGAUUUCCCAUGAUUAUAUAUCAGUAAGAGCCCUGAGAGAUGAUCAGGUAGAUAGGUUAGAAGUGGAAGUGUGGCGACACAUGUAGCGGACUAAUACUAAUAGCUCGAGGACUUAUCCAA
rnacentral:rRNA from 1 species